GGAUGCUCAAAGUCAGCAAAACCACUCUUAGGCUUCGUUUGGAAUUACGAAAAAAUUACGUUACGUGCGGUUAGGGGUGGCAAUCCAGCUCGCUGUUUGCGAGCCAGCUCGUAUUCGGUUCGAAAUGAGCUCGAAAUCGAAUCGUUCGUUUAGUAAACGAGCCAAACACGAACUGAAUUUUUCGAUUUGUUUAAUAAAUGAGCCGAACACGAGCUGAGGUCAGCUCGCUCGUGUUCGGCUCGAUAACAGCUCGAAUACAUAUAUUUUAUAUUUAUAUAACGCUCAAUAACAGCUCGAAUACAUAUAUUUUAUAUUUAUAUAAUUUAUUUAAUUUAUAUNAGGUAAAUAUAAAGCAUAAGUCAAUUAUGAAAAGACUUAUUUAUCUGUAAAAUUUCAAAUAUUAGAUCAAAGCCUAAUGGAUAAAAUUUUAUAUAUUUAUUUUUUAUAUAUAUUCAAUCUAAUCAUUUUAACUUAUUGUUCGUUAACCAGCUCAUGAGCAAGCUCGUGUUCGGAUUGUUUAUUAACGAGCCGAACACGAGCUGAAUUUUUCUGCUCGAUACUGUAAUGAGCUAGCUCGUGUUCGGCUCGUUUACACCCCUACGUGCGGUGAGAAAUAAUGAUGAAAAAAUAUUCUGUUUGUUUUUGUACUUAAUAUUGCAUUUUGUAUAUUACGGUUAGUCAGUUAUGAUAUAUUUUCUAUGGUCCCAUCGGAGAACGCACAAAUAUAUCACUACAUAUUUUUUUUCAACUUCAUUCUAUCUAAUAGCGUUAGAUCUCCUCAAUAUCAAACUAAACCUUAAUCGUAAAAAUGGUGAAAGAGAACCUGAGUUUCUGUAUGGCAUUCAUUUUCUACUCCACCGAAUGCAAAGUUGAAUAAAUUCGACUUUGACUUUUUAUGCAAUAUGUAUCAAAAAACUCCUAAAUAGUAAAUAGCACUAAUUCUCUUCACAAAACACCCCCUAAUCCUCCAUAAACGUGCUACUAGUAGCUAAUUCACCUAGCUGUUUACUGUACAAAACCUUUAUGGUUUGAGCCCAAUUUAUCAAUAAUUCAGCAAUAUUUUGACUUUAAAAUUUAAAUGCGUCGUCUAUUUUAGUUAGUGUAUACUUCAUAUAAUUCUUAUAAUUAUAAAUUUAAUUAGAUGAAAAUUUGAAGGCAGAAUAAUGUCGACUAACUUAAAUUAAAUAAAUUAUAAUAAUAAAUAGUAAAAUUAAAGUUUUAAAAAAAUUAAAUUGCUAAUAAUGAUACAUAGUUUAGAAUAAUUAU
rnacentral:lncRNA from 1 species